rnacentral:rRNA from 1 species
CCUACGGGAGGCAGCAGUGGGGAAUAUUGCACAAUGGGCGAAAGCCUGAUGCAGCGACGCCGCGUGAGGGAUGAAGGCCUUCGGGUUGUAAACCUCUUUCAGCAGGGACGAAGCGCAAGUGACGGUACCUGCAGAAGAAGCACCGGCUAACUACGUGCCAGCAGCCGCGGUAAUACGUAGGGUGCGAGCGUUGUCCGGAAUUACUGGGCGUAAAGAGUUCGUAGGCGGUUUGUCGCGUCGUUUGUGAAAACCCGGGGCUCAACUUCGGGCUUGCAGGCGAUACGGGCAGACUUGAGUGUUUCAGGGGAGACUGGAAUUCCUGGUGUAGCGGUGAAAUGCGCAGAUAUCAGGAGGAACACCGGUGGCGAAGGCGGGUCUCUGGGAAACAACUGACGCUGAGGAACGAAAGCGUGGGUAGCAAACAGGAUUAGAUACCCUGGUAGUCCACGCCGUAAACGGUGGGCGCUAGGUGUGGGUUCCUUCCACGGAAUCUGUGCCGUAGCUAACGCAUUAAGCGC